rnacentral:snRNA from 1 species
GUGCUCGCUUCAGCAGCACACAUACUAAAAUUAGAACAUGCAGAGAAUAUUAGCAUGGCCCCUGUGCAAGGAUGACACGUAAAUUUGUGAAGCGUUCCGUAUUGAA